rnacentral:rRNA from 1 species
AGGAUGAACGCUGGCGGCGUGCCUAACACAUGCAAGUCGAACGUCCUGUCUCGCAAGAGGCAGGGAGUGGCGGACGGGUGAGUACCACGUGGGUCAUCUACCGUGAGGUGAGGAAUACCGGCGAGAAAUCGCCGACAAGACCGCAUAGGCUCGAUGCAAGUCGAGCAAAGCUCUUUCGAGAGAGGGAGCGCCACACGAGGAGCCUGCGCCCGAUUAGCUAGCUGGUGGAGUAACGGUUCACCAGGGCGACGAUCGGUAGCUGGUCUGAGAGGACGAUCAGCCACACUGGGAUUUAGAACGGCCCAGACUCCUACGGGGGGCAGCAGUGAGGAAUUUUCGUCAAUGGGGCAACCCUGAACGAGCAACGCCGCGUGCAGGAAGAAGGUUUUCGGAUCGUAAACUGCUUUUCUCGGGGAAGAGAACGGACGGUACCCGAGGAAUCAGCCCCGGCUAACUACGUGCCAGCAGCCGC